AAGAAGUCAGGCCAGAUUAAGCCAUAGUACGGUAAGAGCUAUGCUGCCUGUGAGCCCCGUCUAAGGACGUAAAAUGAAGUCAGGCCGAAAGCCACGGCUUGAGCAAACCGUGCUGCCUGUAGCUCCAUCGUGGGGAUGUAAAAACCUGGGAGGCUGCAACCCAUGGAAGCUGUACGCAUGGGGUAGCAGACUAGUGGUUAGAGGAGACCCCUCCCGAAACACAACGCAGCAGCGGGGCCCAACACCAG
rnacentral:lncRNA from 1 species